rnacentral:rRNA from 1 species
AUUGAACGCUGGCGGCAUGCUUUACACAUGCAAGUCGAACGGUAACAGGCCGCAAGGUGCUGACGAGUGGCGAACGGGUGAGUAAUGCAUCGGAACGUGCCCAGUCGUGGGGGAUAACUACUCGAAAGAGUAGCUAAUACCGCAUACGAUCUAUGGAUGAAAGCGGGGGACCGUAAGGCCUCGCGCGAUUGGAGCGGCCGAUGUCAGAUUAGGUAGUUGGUGGGGUAAAGGCUCACCAAGCCAACGAUCUGUAGCUGGUCUGAGAGGACGACCAGCCACACGGGAACUGAGACACGGCCCAGACUCCUACGGGAGGCAGCAGUGGGGAAUUUUGGACAAUGGGCGCAAGCCUGAUCCAGCAAUGCCGCGUGCAGGAAGAAGGCCUUCGGGUUGUAAACUGCUUUUGUACGGAACGAAACGGCUCUGGUUAAUACCCGGGGCUAAUGACGGUACCGUAAGAAUAAGCACCGGCUAACUACGUG